UGGAUGUGAAGGUUUAUCUUUAAGGCCCUU
rnacentral:piRNA from 2 species